AAUUUUAUCAGGGGUGUCAAAGUUAUAGCUAAUUUUCAGCUUUGUUCUUUCUGUUUCAAUUUCCAUCUCAUUUUAUAUUUUUGGGGGUAAAUUUUCUCAGAGUUUAGAAGAGAAUUUCAAUUCUUUAAUCUCUCUUUUAGUUGUGAUCACUCUGAUAAUAAUUGCCAUUAUAUGCCUGAUGACAAUAUGAACCUACGUGAUAUAGUUGAAACAACAUUUAAACAAUAAAACAGUGUUUCAUUUUGAUAGCUGUCUUUUUUAUGUUGCUUAUAAUUUGCUUAUUUUGACGUGGAAGGGCUAACAAGAUUGCCAAUAUAGGUAUAAGAGGGUUUGCAAUCAUGGGGGGGGGGGGCAGGGGCUUAAAAUUGAUCCAAAUAGUUUUCCAGAACCGUAUAAUUUUCUCAUAGGGCAAAUGACCCGGAAGAGGGGGUGUGGCUUUCUUUGAUUGAAAAUUAAAUAUGAUUCGAUAAUUUUUUUGAUUGCUUUAUGAUAUGAGUUUAGUCAGGUCCCCGGGUCAGUCAUGAAAGUCAACAAAAGCGAGACAUCUAAUUUCAAACUUGGCUUAUACAUAUCGAGGGAAAAACAGCGCCCCUGGCAAGUGCCUCCCUCCCUUUUUGUCUUGAAUCUUGGUUUUCUCCAGGCCGGGCUCCAGGCAUUUGCCCCCGCAUUUGCCAUUUAAUUUUGAAAAAAAAAAUCGAUAUUUCUUGUAUUGUUACAUUGCAUGAAAAAAGACUAGGAAUUAGUGGACGAUACCUUAUCCUUCCUAUGAAAAGUAAAUUUGUAGCUGCGCUACACGGACCAUCACGGACGGACAAGAUUCGGCUGGCAAGCUCGCUAGUCAGCUGCUGAUCCACAUCCUCGAUCCUCCGAUCGAUCGAGAGACCUUGCGAGCUAGCUGAAUUCGACUUUGUGUGUACUUCGCCAGCCUGGGUGACGAACACUGGAACGGUUGCUCUGGAAAAUGAAACCGUGAGGAACAAUUUGCGUUCCGAGCGUUGAUACUGUGAUCCCAGGUCAUCAUUAUUCCUUUCAGCCUAGCCUUCUGGCCGCUGAUAGGGUCGAUCAUGCAGAGCCAAAAAAUCCAGCAUAAAUAAAUUGCCCCCUUGCCUUUUUUCACAUUCCCUUCUCUCGACCUCUUUCAAAAGGCCAGGCUCCAAUCACCAUUCAUAAAAGAAAUACUUGGCCAAGAAGUAAACCCAGAAAGGUAUUAAGCAAAUUGAUACCAUUGGGCCGGUGAAUUUAUAUAUUUGGCUAUCAUCGGAAACCCCCCACCCUUUUUCGUUUUGAGUAUGGUCAUAGCUCCAAUGCGUAUUACAGCAGAGGAUGUGUGAUUAAAUGCAGCAUAGAUCUCUGCAUGUCGCUAAGCUACACCUCUCUAUGCCCUUCUUCAGCCUGGCCAGUGCACGAGAUAGACAGGAAUUAUGCUCAAACUCAUCACAGAAAAGCUGCAGAAUCAGUCUCUGGAAGAUGUCAACUUUCCCGCUAUAUUGCCAAAGAUCCCUUUUCAGUACCAGACUAGGAGUAAGACCAGGGCAUUACAACAGACACUACAAGAUGCCUUAAUACCAGGUGAGAAUCUACACUGUACAUUUCAAACUAGUCUGCAGACACAGACCUUUGGUUCUUGCGCCAUUCACAUAGUGCAUCAUACAGAGUCUGAAAUAGUGAAACUAGAUUCACUGUGUACUGAGGCUACAUCUUAUUUGACACAGAGUCUCCUUUCUAGACAUGGUAUAAUUGUUAAUGUGCCAAAAAUGAGUCUGUGUUCGCAGACUAAUUUCCAACUUCUAACAGGCAGGUUUGGAAAUAGCUGGAGGCCACCAGACGCUAUGGCCUCCGGUGCUGCAGUACCCUCUUUUGAUUAAAAGUUGAAGCCACUAGAAAUGUGGCCUUGUUUAAUUUGCCAGGGGGCAUAUUCUCAUAAAUAACAAAGACUUAAAAAUUCAUUUCAUUUUUAAAACGCCCCUUUAAAAGUGGCCUUCGUGCCCCUUCCAUCAGUCAUACCAUGGUCCCCUCUGCCAUUGGUUCCAUGACAUUUGCUCUGGCGACAAUUGCUCCGGUGACAAUUGCUCCGCUGUGAAUUCUACACACUAAUGGAAUCGCCAACUUCAACCCUGGAUUUAACGCAAACCCUAACCCUAGACCUAACAUAAAACCCUAACGCUAACCCUUUAUCUUCAUAGACGAAAUAAAGCCCGGAGCAAUCGUCGCAGGAGCAAAUUUCUUGUCACCCUGCCAUCUGCCAUAUUUCAAAAAGUUGCCCCUCACCAAAGUGGCAUUGUCCCCUUGAAAAUCCUAUUUCGAGGCCUGCGGAGCCUUACCGUGGUGCGUAUAUUGCUGUGUAUUGCUUUGCAUUGUUGCAUACUUUGAAUGAUAAUGAUGAUAAUAAUAGUAUUGUUUUUACCCAGGGUAGCCACUUAAGUUUUAUACAAACUGCUCUGCCAGUGGGUCCUACAAGACAUCAUUGUAUGCAUAUACAUGUAUGUGUAGGGACUGCUGUGUGCAGCUGUUCUCAGUAAUGCAUCGCAUAUUUCUAGGGUAGCAGUCACACUGUUAGUUCAAACGCAAACAACAUAUAAACCAGGCUGUCAAUAUAGAGAGCAGCAACAGCAGCAAUGGCUCUUGCAGCUGCGGUCAAUGUGCGAGCAACAUUGCAGCAAUACUUUCUGUCAUGCAAAGAAUAACAAGAACAAACAAGAAGGAGUAUUUGCAUGAUAUUCUGCACCGCAUUCACUGAAAAAAUUUCACUUCUGAAAAAUAUGAAAUAGAAUCAAGAUAUCCUUUUCGAUGUUUGGAUCUGUGCUUAUUCAAAAUAAUGGUAACAUGGUGACUUUGUAAAAAAGAAAACAAAACCCUGACAGGGUAAGCCUUACACCGUAUUUAUGCUGAACUUUUCAAAACUGGAGGGAGUUUUGAUAGGUUUGAUAGAAACAAGAGUUGGGUCAUUUUGUGCCGUUGUAGAGCAAACAAGGAAAGGCUCCAUCCAGCUCGGUUGCCUGACACGAUAACUAUUUACCUAACCCCACCACUGUCCGAAAGUCCGCCCCAAAUGAAGAGCGUUCUGGCCUGCAGAGGCAAUUUAUUUUGAAAGAUUUUUUCCUGGUUGGCUUUUGUCGAGGGAAAUGCGAUUCUUGCAGGUGCACUAUGUUUUUCCUCUAAACUAGGGCGCAUCAGUAGCCCUUUAGCCGGACAUGAGAGAGAGCUAUAUUUGUCAUGCCCGACCCAAGGGGGAACUAGAUAUCUGGUUUGCAGCCUCUACUGUCAUUCUUUCAGCUACAUAACCACCAUCAUCCUCCAUUCUAAAGUGUGAUUUUUCAUACAACCAGCUUUACACAUGUAGCUCUGUGGCAGCAAUUUCCAUACGACUUACUAUCAUUUCAUUUUAUUUCAAAGCAGGUGGAUGUAUAGAAAAGGUAAAAUGCCAAGCAAGUGCAAAAGAUUUUUUUGGCAGAUUUUACGUUAUUUCCUGUCAAAGAGUUGGGGCUAGAUUUCCUUUCAACUAUAAACCCAUCCUUUACCUACAUCAUUCAUACUUCCCUGACGCCCACUUCCUUUGGAUUUAGAGGUUAAUUCCCAAGAAUAACAUUGGACAAAAAUUGAGAGAGAAAGAAAAAAAACAGUUCUUAUCUGACCCCAUAAUUGCCAUUAGCUGUUAGACUUAUUUUAUAAUUAAGAUUGAUGAUGCAUUAGACUUGAUUAUUAUUUGAUGUUUGAAAUUUGAAAGAACUGUGCUAAAAUAUUUAACAUACAUUCUUCAGACCAUGAAUCAGUUUUUAUAUAAAGUGUAACAAGAAAAAUGAUUUAUCUGCAAGACUUGAUAGAUUUGUGCGCGAGACAUGUACGUACGUGUACAUGUACAUUGUGGAUUUCUUUUGUCAUAGUUUAUUGCAGAUAUUUUUAUAGGCAGCUUUCGACGAGAAAUGUCAACGAGCCCUGCAAAUUUUUUUUUUUCAUUUAAAAGAUCCGUAUGACUUUUUGUUCAAGCUGUCAUUCAAAGAAUAUAUUUAUUUGUAAAGAGAUGCAGCAAUAUCUAUUGGAUAAAUCAAUAUUCAUGAAGGAAUAUGAUAUUUGAAACCAAUUUAAAAUUGAUGGUGCUCCUGACUAAUGGCGAACUUGUCUGGCAGUGACAGAUAAAAUGACAAUAUUUUCAGCCAAUGGGGGAUGAAUAAUGUUACACAGAAGCCUAAAAGUUGUAUUUUUUCAAUUCAGAUUUCAGUAUAACAGUUAUGGUUAUUUUAAAGUGUUCCAUCAAUUUUGCAUAUUAUAUUUUAUACAGUAUAAACAACACUAAGAAUAAUAAAGGAUAUAUAUGUAUACUUGAAGAAAAAGAAGAUGGGUUAUUUCAUCUAUCAUCAGUAAUUUCCCAACUGAAUAUAUUCGUAAGUUAAAAAAAAGGUAUGCACAAAAGUGGCUACUCUUCUAUAAAAAAAGGCUUUGAAAUUUGAUAAUGAUGUAAUUUCCUGUUGAAGUGUUUUUAGGAAUAUAGAUAAUUGGAUGCUUCGAGGUAUGGUUUCAUAAAUUUAUCAAAUCCAAUUAGAAAACAGCUCCUGUGAAGCCUGAAAUGGCUCUGUUAAAACAUUUAUGGAAUCGGUUUCUGCCAUGGAACUGGUUUAAUAGGAAAAAAAGGCAUUCAUGAAAGAAAUGUUAUUUCGAGCUGCUUGCUCCCCACCCUUCCUGCGCCGUUUUGAACAGAGACAGAAUUUCUGGUUGGAAAAUUACAUUACAGAUGCCAGAAAAUUCAAUGGCUGGCUGUGGCUGGAGGCGAGUCUUUGCUUUGCGAUUCAAUUUGCGGCGUGGUGCAGGGGGAACACGUGAGCAGAUUCACUCAUGGCGAUGCCUCUAUGUCAGGCUUGCCAGAGAAUCAUGCUCGCCUAUCAUGCAACAAAACCCUCCUGCCGUGAAUAUCAUUAUUAAUGAAGGGAUUAUUUUUGUGAGUUUUUAUGCCUGCCUUGAUAUUAUACCAGUUUAUGAUGUUCAUUUGAUAGGAACUACAUGUGCAGUCAUAUGGCACAUCAAUAUUAUUAAUGUAUUCAUGGUUAUCAAUCCUUCUACAUGUGGAUUUCUAUUAUAUAGCAACCAUAAAUUUGACUAUCAUAGUUAAAACAGUUAAAUUCUACCAUUUUAGUUAAAGACGUUAAAUCCUAGCAAGUCAAAUAUCUCUGUCAUAAUUCUACUUCAUUACCUGCAUUUAUCAAUGAAGAGAUGUUGUUAUGCACUUAUAUUAAGAGGAUGCUGAUACACUUCGGUUUUAUAUGAGGCAAAUUUUUCAAACCGUGAUUGUGGUUAGCAUCAUUAAACUGUCCAAUUUUCAAGAAUGCUAUGUUUGUCCGAGAGAAAACUGAAAUGAAGAAGGGGGAAAAAAGACGAAAGAGCAAUAUCCUGUGAUGACCGUUGAGGUUAAUUUGAAAUUUUAUCACCUUUAGGGUUUGGCUAUUGCUGUGCUUGCCUGGAUGUUGUUGGGCUUGUGUUAUUCAGGGAAAGAUGCAUGUUGAAAUAUCAAACUUGAGGAAAUCUAAAUGUCAAGGAAAUUCAGAAAGAAAGGGCAAGGCAGAAUUUCUUCUUUUCUUUUCUUUUCUUUCUGCCUGUCAGUAAUGGAAAUUUAUUCACUUUGGUUUAAAGUAAUGGAUGGAACGGCAUUCUGACUUUGAUCAGUUGAACCUGGUUGGAUGGGCAUCACUGAAUGCUCAUUAUCAAGCUCAAGGGAGGAUUUUAAAAGAGAUCAAUGGGGAAAGUACUGUAUAAGCAGUGAAUAAAGUCAGGUGGGUAUAAAUGGAAAUGAGGAUUAAAGAUGAAAGAUGUAUAUAAAUGAGGGGAGAUUCAUGUAAAAAUAAAUCUUUUUUUUAGGAAGAACAUCCCCCAUUCCUCACACCUGUACAAGCAGAGUAGGUGGCGUAGGUUUCCUUUCUAAUUUUACUGUGAUUCGUAGAAAAUAGACCAUGAUACCUUACACUUCAAUUUCAAUUCCAUCGACAAUUUUAAAAGCAAGAUUAAUGACCACCAAAGUCCAAUUUAUUCAUCACAACGAUGUGUUUGCUAGGAAACAAUACUAUGCUGCCUUUUCCCCGCUAGCAACAACGAUGCUCCGACUAUUAUAGACUAUUGCAUAUUUGUAGUUUUGAUCCAUGCUGAUCCCGUGAAAUGAAGACCCAUUACAUACAAAGUCCAUGGUCAGUAUAUCAGAAGUAUUCGUCCUUGAUUGCUAUGAAGCACAAGGGGCAAGGACCAGAAGGUAUGCUCAUAUGAGAUGCAUCUCACACCCACCCAUCACC